AACGAACGCUGGCGGCAUGCCUAACACAUGCCAGUCGAACGAGACCUUCGGGUCUAGUGGCGCACGGGUGCGUAACGCGUGGGAACCUGCCCUUAGGUUCGGAAUAACUCCCCGAAAGGGGUGCUAAUACCGGACAAUGUCUUCGGCCCAAGGAUUUAUCGCCUUUGGAUGGGCCCGCGUUGGAUUAGCUAGUUGGUAGGGUAAAAGCCUACCACGGCGACGAUCCAUAGCUGGUCUGAGAGGAUGAUCAGCCACACUGGGACUGAGACCCGGCCCAGACUCCUACGGGAGGCAGCAGUGGGGAAUAUUGGACAAUGGGCGAAGGCCUGAUCCAGCAAUGACGCGUGAGUGAUGAAGGCCUUAGGGUUGUAAAGCUCUUGUACCCGGGAUGAUAAUGACGGUACCGGGAGAAUAAGCUCCGGCUAACUCCGUG
rnacentral:rRNA from 1 species